UGGGGAAUAUUGGACAAUGGGCGAAAGCCUGAUCCAGCCAUGCCGCGUGUGUGAAGAAGGUCUUCGGAUUGUAAAGCACUUUAAGUUGGGAGGAAGGGCAGUAAGCGAAUACCUUGCUGUUUUGACGUUACCGACAGAAUAAGCACCGGCUAACUCUGUGCCAGCAGCCGCGGUAAUACAGAGGGUGCAAGCGUUAAUCGGAAUUACUGGGCGUAAAGCGCGCGUAGGUGGUUCGUUAAGUUGAAUGUGAAAGCCCCGGGCUCAACCUAGGAACUGCAUCCAAAACUGGCGAGCUAGAGUAGGGCAGAGGGUGGUGGAAUUUCCUGUGUAGCGGUGAAAUGCGUAGAUAUAGGAAGGAACACCAGUGGCGAAGGCGACCACCUGGGCUCAUACUGACACUGAGGUGCGAAAGCGUGGGGAGCAAACAGG
rnacentral:rRNA from 1 species